UACGAAGGGGGCGAGCGUUGUUCGGAUUUACUGGGCGUAAAGGGCGCGCAGGCGGCUCAUUUUGUCAGGCGUGAAAGCCCCGGGCUUAACCUGGGAACUGCGUUUGAUACGGAUGGGCUAGAGUUCGGGAGAGGAGAGUGGAAUUCCCAGUGUAGAGGUGAAAUUCGUAGAUAUUGGGAAGAACACCGGUGGCGAAGGCGGCUCUCUGGACCGAUACUGACGCUGAGGCGCGAAAGCGUGGGGGAGCAAACAGG
rnacentral:rRNA from 1 species